AGCACUAACAGGAAGUUAACGUGCAUUCGCAAUAGUUGUACUCGUACUCUGUCUUACCUAGAAGUUGAUGGUCACUUACUUAACACGUUCAUGCUUGAGAAGGCUUUACUUUUUUACAAAUAUCUGGGAAGGGAAAAACACUUCAAUAGAAGAAAAGAAAGAAGUAAACAACAAAGGAAAUACACUUCUGCUUCCAAGUCUUUUAUUUGCUAGUUUAGCCCUCAGAGUGUUAGCUGUCUGUCAAGUUGGGCAAAGGAGCGCGCAGCUAGGACAGAACACGUGUGAUGUCUCCUUCGCUAUCAAAAAACCACUGGGGCUGUUUGAGAUUUAACAGUGAAACAGAGGGCAACAGUCGCUCAGUACUGCGCUCAGUUCCAACAGAGGGCAUCGCAGCAAAACAUUAAUAGUGCCGCUACCUUCCAUGUUGCCCAUAGCAACGGUAGAGCAAGGAGGAUUUCCACAGUCCUUUGCCAUCCAUUUUAAGUGUACGUCACAUUUUAAAACAGCAGAAGGUGUAGUUUCCCACUUUACUAGAAUUAACUAAAACCAUAUUAAAUAUGUUACACAUGUACCCGGAACUUUACAGUCCAUGCUUGGAACACGUUUCCUCCUGCUUUCUGUCCAACAUCACCAUCACAUAUUCAGUCAUACUUUUUAUUUUUAUAUAUAUACUUUUUUAAAAACACAUUACAACAAAAUUGUAACAAACAACAUAUAGGUCACCAGAGGCAAUACGUUACACGAAUAUAUUCACAGCAAUUAGUCCAGUACCAUGGGGCACCGUCCCCCAAUACGGGCUCACAACAAAUGUGUGUGGAUUCCAGUCCAGCAUAAGAGACUGGUAGAGACAUGUAUAAAACAAUUGUAGAGUGGUCAUGCAAGCAAAAUCGCACACAGGAAACCAGGAAGAAGCCACAGAUCCACUGUACCAGAGAAAAAAACCCGAGGUCUUAUCCAACAACCCUCUUCAUGUGUAAACCCAUUUGGACCAGUUAUUGUCAAAUUUGUCACUAUAGAGUUUUAAAGAAAAAUGCAGUUUUUCCAUAUGAAACAAGUCAUUUACACUGUUUAUCCAUUCUCCCUAAGUUGGAACUUCUUUCACUAGUCAUUUUUUAGUGAUUACUUUUUGCGAGCACUCAUAUAUAUCAGCACUAAUAUUUGCUGAAGGCAGUGGCGGGCCGUGCAUUUCACACCUAGGCCUUCAGUGAUGUCCUACACAGUCCUACCUGAAUUAUUCCACCUCUUAAUACCAUCAUUAUGACGCCAUGGCUCUAGAAACUAUACAUUUAGACAGAAACACAGUAUAACCGGGCGUUGCAUCACCUUAACAUAGUCAAGUACAACAGAGUUAUAUUAAUAUUUCUGAAGCAUUUAUAAUCAAUACAUCAGCAUUUACAGUUAACUUAAUUAAUCAGAUUAUCUGACAAACCGCUCCUUGACACCUGUGUCCUGUCACAUAACGCAGAACAAGUGCCAGCUGUGCUACAUUACCCACGUCUGACGUCUCGUCCACCAUAACAGCGACAAAGGGUGCUUUUUUAAUCUUCAUUUUGAUCUCUUCUCCAAACACUUCAGCAAUAUCAUAAAUCAGGUCGUUUUGUAUUUUGCCUGACGUCCCAGUAAACAUGUUGUUUGUGUACAGGUGGUAAUGCAAAUCUGUGUUGUUCUCAGCAAGAAAAGAAAGAAGCUCCAUGUAGUUUCCUCUGUUUCUGGACUCGGCGCUUUCAUCGUGU